rnacentral:rRNA from 1 species
UACGUAAGGGGCAAGCGUUGUCCGGAAUCACUGGGCGUAAAGCGCACGUAGGCGGUUUGCCAAGUUGGGGGUGUAAGCUCUAGGCCUAACCUAGAAAUUGUCUCCAAAACUAGCAUACUUGAGUAUUAGAGGGGAAGCUGGAAUUCACGGUGUAGCGGUGAAAUGCGUAGAUAUCGUGGAGAACACCCGUGGCGAAGGCGGGCUUCUGGCUAAUUACUGACGCUGAGGUGCGAAAGCUAGGGGAGCGAACGGG